ACCAUUGGAAUAAACAUGAAAUGGUAAUUUUUUUGAAAGUUAUUUUUUUAAUUAAUUUUUUUUUUACAUUUAUUUAUUUUUGAGAGACAGAGAAAGACAGAGCACAAGUGGGGGAGGGGCAGAGAGAGAAUGAGACACAGAAUCCGAAGCAGGCUCCAGGCUCUGAGCUGUCAACACAGAACCCGAUACAGGGCUCCAACCUAUGAACUGUGAGUUCAUGACCUGAGCUGAAGUUGGAUGCCCAACCGACUGAGCCACCCAGGCCAUUUCAGCCCAAUGUCAAGAAACACUUCGUAACAGAACUGGGUAAAAAAAAAAAAAGAGUGAAUUCCCAGUCACUUGAAGGAUUCAAGCAUAAAUUGUCACCUACUUGACUGGACAUUAUAGAAGAGAUUCGAGCAACAGAAGUGUGGUUUUUGUAUGAUUCCUGCUGUGUGAGAAAUCAUUUAACCUCUCUGAGACUCUAUUCUCUGUAAAAUGGAGAAGUUUGACUAAAUUACCUCCAGUUCCUUUUGAGUUUUAAAUUGUUUUGAUUCUGCAUUGGUGUAAUUACAUUUGUCUGUCUUUUCCAGAUUUACAUAAUAUCAGCCUUUUAUCACUUGAAAUACAUAGCUAUACUUGUGAGAAUUAAUUGAAUAUUUGUAAAAUUGCAAAACACUAUGUAAGUGUAAAGCAUUACAGUCCAACAUCAUUGGCUGUUAGGAAAAUGCAAAUUAACCCCACAAUGACAUACCACUACACACUUGUUAGAAUGGCUAACUAACAUUAAAAAUAUUUAUGAUACCAAGUACUGCCAAGAUAUGGAGCAAUUGUAUCUCUCGUUCUUUGUUGGUGGGAAUGUUAAAUGAUAUAGCUACCCUAGAAAACAGUUUGGCAGUUUCUUCUGAAGUUAAACAUAAACUUACCAUAAUACCCAGCAAUCCAACUACUGGAUAUUUACUCUAGAGAAAUGAACAUUUAAAUUUGUACAAAAAUCUGUGUCCAGAUUUUUUUACAGUUUAUUUAUUUUGAAAGAGAGGAAGAGAAUGCAAGCUGGAGAGGGGCAGAGAGAGAGGGAGAGAAUCCUAAGCAGGCCCCAUGCUGUUAGCAUAGAGCCCCACCUGGGGCUCGAUAUCAUGAACUGUGAGACCAUGACCUGAGCUGAGAUCAAGAGUUGGAGGUCUGAAUGAGCCACCUAGGUGCCACUGUGUAUAGAUUUUCAUUAAAUCUUUAUGACAGCCAACUGGAGACCACCCAAUGGGUGAAUGAGUAAACUGUGGUACAUUCAUAUCAUGGAAUACUACUCAGCAAUAAAAAAGGAACAAACUAUUAACAUACACACAAAAACUUAUAUGGGUCUCAAGGCCAUUAUACUGACUGAAAAAAAGCCAGUAUCAAAAGGUUACAUAUGAUACAAUUCCAUUUCUACAACAGCCUCAAAAUAGCAAAAUUAUAGUGAUGGAGAACACAUCAGUUGGGCCAGUGGUUAGAGUUAGAGGGAAGGUGUGACUAUAAAGGGGUAGCAGGAGGGAGUUACUUCGGAGUAAUGGAAUAGUUUUAUAUCCUAAUUGUAAUGAACACUACAUUAAUCUCUGAUAUGUGGUAAAUUUUAUAGAACUAAACAAACACACAGAAAUUUAUGUUUUUCUUCGAGUUUCUGGAAAGCAAGGAAAUAUGUAUCUAUAUUCAAUUUUUGUUUUCAUUGACUUUUUUUAUGUUUAGCUCUGAACUGUCUUGUAAUCAAUAAUGUGAAAUGUUUCUCAUAUGAAACAUUUUUUCUUGUUGAAGAAUGGUAUAGAAAGAAGGGUGUGAGGUAUACUUACUUGAUGGUAAUUUUACUCCUUUUCUUUAGAGGUGUAAAUGGUCAAAUGUGAAAUAAAUUCAGGUACAUCGCA